CACGGCUAUCCCUAAAGAUUGGCAUCUUAUUAUUUUGGACCUAAAAGAUUGCUUCUUUUCUAUUCCCCUGGCCCCCCAGGAUCGCAAACGUUUUGCUUUCUC
rnacentral:sRNA from 1 species